rnacentral:rRNA from 1 species
UACGGGGGGAGCAAGCGUUGUUCGGAUUUACUGGGCGUAAAGGGCGCGUAGGCGGCCAGCACAAGUCAGUUGUGAAACCUCCGAGCUUAACUCGGAACGGUCAACUGAUACUGUGCGGCUAGAGUGCAGAAGGGGCAACUGGAAUUCUUGGUGUAGCGGUGAAAUGCGUAGAUAUCAAGAGGAACACCUGCGGCGAAGGCGGGUUGCUGGGCUGACACUGACGCUGAGGCGCGAAAGCUAGGGGAGCGAACGGG